rnacentral:rRNA from 1 species
UUUAUGGAGAGUUUGAUCCUGGCUCAGGAUGAACGCUGGCGGCGUGCCUAAUACAUGCAAGUCGAGCGAACGGACGAGAAGCUUGCUUCUCUGAUGUUAGCGGCGGACGGGUGAGUAACACGUGGAUAACCUACCUAUAAGACUGGGAUAACUUCGGGAAACCGGAGCUAAUACCGGAUAAUAUUUUGAACCGCAUGGUUCAAAAGUGAAAGACGGUCUUGCUGUCACUUAUAGAUGGAUCCGCGCUGCAUUAGCUAGUUGGUAAGGUAACGGCUUACCAAGGCAACGAUGCAUAGCCGACCUGAGAGGGUGAUCGGCCACACUGGAACUGAGACACGGUCCAGACUCCUACGGGAGGCAGCAGUAGGGAAUCUUCCGCAAUGGGCGAAAGCCUGACGGAGCAACGCCGCGUGAGUGAUGAAGGUCUUCGGAUCGUAAAACUCUGUUAUUAGGGAAGAACAUAUGUGUAAGUAACUGUGCACAUCUUGACGGUACCUAAUCAGAAAGCCACGGCUAACUACGUGCCAGCAGCCGCGGUAAUACGUAGGUGGCAAGCGUUAUCCGGAAUUAUUGGGCGUAAAGCGCGCGUAGGCGGUUUUUUAAGUCUGAUGUGAAAGCCCACGGCUCAACCGUGGAGGGUCAUUGGAAACUGGAAAACUUGAGUGCAGAAGAGGAAAGUGGAAUUCCAUGUGUAGCGGUGAAAUGCGCAGAGAUAUGGAGGAACACCAGUGGCGAAGGCGACUUUCUGGUCUGUAACUGACGCUGAUGUGCGAAAGCGUGGGGAUCAAACAGGAUUAGAUACCCUGGUAGUCCACGCCGUAAACGAUGAGUGCUAAGUGUUAGGGGGUUUCCGCCCCUUAGUGCUGCAGCUAACGCAUUAAGCACUCCGCCUGGGGAGUACGACCGCAAGGUUGAAACUCAAAGGAAUUGACGGGGACCCGCACAAGCGGUGGAGCAUGUGGUUUAAUUCGAAGCAACGCGAAGAACCUUACCAAAUCUUGACAUCCUUUGACAACUCUAGAGAUAGAGCCUUCCCCUUCGGGGGACAAAGUGACAGGUGGUGCAUGGUUGUCGUCAGCUCGUGUCGUGAGAUGUUGGGUUAAGUCCCGCAACGAGCGCAACCCUUAAGCUUAGUUGCCAUCAUU